ACAGCCUCACCAUGAGCUGCUUGAUGAUCUCCUCUCUCUCCUUCAGGCGGGUCUGCAGACGGCCUAUGAGCUGAACGUCCUCUGGUCUGGACGCCCCCUUCCCUGGCUUCUCUCCAGAAUCUUUCAGUCUGUUUGGAGCAGCUGCAGGGCCUUGUGUAUGAUACACACGCUGCCCUCAGUGAAGCGUCAAGAACCAGGGAUGUCACUGGACAAAGGCCUCCGCGGAAAAAUGCUCCCCACCCCAAGCUCAGCGUUGUCGCCGCCACCACUAGGCUAAUGCUGACGUGACUCUGGAGCCAUCUGCUGGCCGAGAUGGAGCGCGGCAUGUGCCAGUUCUUGGGCAGAGCAGCGGGGCAGCUGGUACCCCCAGCCCUUUCAACAUGAAGCUGAAGAGGAAGAACUCUCCGCAUGGUGGGGGGAGGGUUAUGGCUGCACGUGACCUAUGAACUGUAGCUGAUAAGAGGCCAGGACUUUGGGGUGAGGUGACUUGGGAUCUGACCCCUAAUCUGCCUUUUCCUAGCUAUGUGACUUUGGCCAUAGCCUUUCCCUGUGACCUUUGGUUCCCCCUUAUUUAAAAUGGGCAUGAUAACAGAUGGUUGCGAGGAUUCAGUGAGAUAAGGGGAGCCUGGCAUGUGGCAAGUGCCCAUUAGAUGGUAGCCCAUAAAACCUUCCACUCUGGAUUUUGGAUGAUUUGCUUUGUAUUGGAAACAGUGGAGAACACUUUUUAAAGAUCGAAAGCUAAGGGUCAGACAGGUGACAUUUAGAUUCACUCAGUGCUGCUUGACCUUGGGCAAAUGGCUUCACCUGUCACUUUCCAACUGGUCUCUCUGCUGCUAACCCUGACCACCGCCCGCAAGUCUCUUCUCUCAGCAGCCAGAGUGACCCUGUUAGAAGAUAAAUCAGACCAUGUCACUCCUGCUCAAAGCCUUGCAGUGGCUUCCCGGUGCACUCUGAACACAUCCAAACUCCUUCCUGUUCAGUGCAGGGUCUCCUUCAUCCCUCCCAGCUACCCCACCAACCUCAGUUCCUACCACUCACCCUCUCACUUAGUCCUGGCUGUUCAGUCAUGUGAAGCAGGCCCCAGGGCCAUUGCACUUGCUGUUGUCUCUGCUGGGAAUUCUCUUCCUCCAGAUGGCUCACUCCCCGCACCUGCUCGUGCUCAAGUGUCACCUCCUUAGAGAGGCCUUCCUGGCCCACCCUUGCCACUUCCUAGACAUAGAUCCUGUUUUCUUCUACCUUUCGCUACCUGAUAUGAAGUCAAAUAUUUAUUUGCUUCUUUCUUGUCUAAAUACCCAUGUACUCUCUAUGAGAGCAUAGUCGUCGUUUAGUUCCUGGCUCUAACUCCAGAGCCUAAAACAGGGCAGGGCACACAAUAGGCUCUUAAUAAACAUCUGUUGACUAAA